rnacentral:rRNA from 1 species
UACGAAGGGGGCUAGCGUUGCUCGGAAUCACUGGGCGUAAAGGGCGCGUAGGCGGACUUUUACGUCGGAGGUGAAAGCCCAGGGCUCAACCCUGGAAUUGCCUUCGAUACUGGGAGUCUUGAGUUCGGAAGAGGUUGGUGGAACUGCGAGUGUAGAGGUGAAAUUCGUAGAUAUUCGCAAGAACACCGGUGGCGAAGGCGGCCAACUGGUCCGAAACUGACGCUGAGGCGCGAAAGCGUGGGGAGCAAACAGG